rnacentral:rRNA from 1 species
UAGAAUACUCAAGCUAUGCAUCCAACGCGUUGGGAGCUCUCCCAUAUGGUCGACCUGCAGGCGGCCGCGAAUUCACUAGUGAUUGGAUUAGGCAUGCAAGUCGAACGAGGAAGUGCCCCGUAAGGGGCGCAAGCCUAGUGGCGAAAGGGUGAGUAAUGCAUUGAUAACCUGCCUUUGAGAUGGGAAUGACUGCGUUUCGAGCAAUCGGAACUACCGAAAGGGCUGCUAAUACCCAAUAAUACUAUAGGUGCAAAAGCACUUGUGGUCAAAUGCUAGGAAUUCUGUUCCUUGUGCUUAAAGAGGGGUUAAUGUCCUAUCAGCUAGUUGGUGGGGUAAUGGCCUACCAAGGCAAAGACGGGUAGCCGGCUUGAGAGGGUGGUCGGCCACACUGGGACUGAGACACUGCCCAGACUCCUACGGGAGGCUGCAGUCGAGAAUCUUUCGCAAUGCCCGAAAGGGUGACGAAGCGACGCCGCGUGUGGGAAGAAGGCCUUCGGGUUGUAAACCACUGUCGGGAGUUAGGAAAUGCAGGUGCGUUAAUAGCGCACUUGCUUGACUAAGGCUCCAGAGGAAGCCACGGCUAACUCUGUGCCAGCAGCCGCGGUAAUACAGAGGCGGCAAGCGUUGUUCGGAAUUAUUGGGCGUAAAGAGCACGUAGGCGGCCUUGCAAGUCAGUUGUGAAAGCCUUCCGCUUAACGGAAGAACGGCAUCUGAUACUACAGGGCUUGAGUACGGGAGGGGAGAGCGGAACUUCUGGUGGAGCGGUGAAAUGCGUAGAUAUCAGAAGGAACGCCGGCGGCGAAAGCGACUCUCUGGUCCGAAACUGACGCUGAGUGUGCGAAAGCUAGGGGAGCAAACGGGAUUAGAUACCCCGGUAGUCCUAGCCGUAAACGAUGGGCACUAAGUAGAGGGGUUUUAAUCGAAUUUCUCG